AAAAGAGGUGAUGAAAACAAAGCUUCAUAUAUUUUUGGUUCUUCUUGGCCGAAUUGAAGAAAGAAAAAGGGACAAGAUUUUCGGUCACUUUAAGCUUGGGGAAGCUCAAGAGCAAAGAGGGUCUAAAUCAGAUAAGGGAAAGGAAAAAGCAGUCGAGUAGCCUAUCCGCAACUGUUCAAAAUAUCCGAGGUAUAUACUUUAGCUCGAGUUGGAAGGGCCGGAGAUAUCAUCACACUAUCUAGUCAUUAUGUGAGUUGAGAAGAUUGUAUAUCAUCAUGGUUUAAGGCAUGUAUAGGAUAGACUAUAGGUAGAAUGAUAUUUCGACUUUGUAUACGUUAUAGCCAUGCGAAGAUGGCUUGCUCAUUUUGUUUAGAGAAGCCUUAUAAUUGAACUAA